rnacentral:rRNA from 1 species
AGUGAACGCUGGCGGUAGGCCUAACACAUGCAAGUCGAACGGCAGCACAGUAAGAGCUUGCUCUUACGGGUGGCGAGUGGCGGACGGGUGAGUAAUACAUCGGUAUCUACUUUUUCGUGGGGGAUAACGUAGGGAAACUUACGCUAAUACCGCAUACGACCUACGGGUGAAAGCAGGGGAUCUUCGGACCUUGCGCGAUUGAAUGAGCCGCUGUCGGAUUAGCUAGUUGGCGGGGUAAAGGCCUACCAAGGCGACGGUCCGUAGCUGGUCUGAGAGGAAGAACAGCCACACUGGAACUGAGACACGGUCCAGACUCCUACGGGAGGCAGCAGUGGGGAAUAUUGGACAAUGGGGGCGAGCCGAAUCCAGCCAUACCGCGUGAGUGAAGAAGGCGUUCGGGUUGUAGAGCCCUUUUGUUGGGAAAGAAAAGCAGCAGGUUAAGACCCCGCUGUUCUGACGGUACCCAAAGAAUAAGCACCGGCUAACUUCGUG